rnacentral:misc_RNA from 1 species
AACGGUCUAUACCUGCGGUACCUGCGGAGGGAUCAUUACUGAGUUAGGGUCUUAUUUGGCCCAACCUCCAAACCUUUGAGUACCUUGCAAGGCAUUGAUUUUUCCUUGUUGCUUCGGUGGGUUGAAAACACCCACCGAACCACAGGAACAACAAACUCUUUUGAAAGGUGCAGUCUGAAGUUUAGAUACUAAAUAAAUUAAAACUUUUAACAAUGGAUCUCUAGAUCGGAAGAGCACACG